rnacentral:rRNA from 1 species
CCUACGGGAGGCAGCAGUGGGGAAUUUUGGACAAUGGACGCAAGUCUGAUCCAGCCAUGCCGCGUGCGGGAAGAAGGCCUUCGGGUUGUAAACCGCUUUUGUCAGGGAAGAAAAGGUUCUGGUUAAUACCUGGGACUCAUGACGGUACCUGAAGAAUAAGCACCGGCUAACUACGUGCCAGCAGCCGCGGUAAUACGUAGGGUGCAAGCGUUAAUCGGAAUUACUGGGCGUAAAGCGUGCGCAGGCGGUUAUGCAAGACAGAGGUGAAAUCCCCGGGCUCAACCUGGGAACUGCCUUUGUGACUGCAUAGCUAGAGUACGGUAGAGGGGGAUGGAAUUCCGCGUGUAGCAGUGAAAUGCGUAGAUAUGCGGAGGAACACCGAUGGCGAAGGCAAUCCCCUGGACCUGUACUGACGCUCAUGCACGAAAGCGUGGGGAGCGAAACAGGAUUAGAUACCCUGGUAGUCCACGCCCUAAACGAUGUCAACUGGUUGUUGGGUAGGUUUCUUCUCAGUACGUAGCUACGCGUGAAGUUGACCGCGUGGGGAGGACGGCCGCGUAAGGUUAGUAAACGUUAAAGGUUAAAGUUAGUUACGGUUCGUGAGAGUUGCCGACGGACGACGACGAGGGAGGAGG